UCAAGUAGCUGUUUAUGAGAUCGUAUUUUGUCUUUUGCGGAUAAAUUACGAGGAUUUGAUUUGCUAAAUCGAAGUUGAAGUUGAAAAAAGUGUUAUUCAACAUGUCCGUGUAUUGUAUUGUACAGUGUGGUGCCAGAAAGGACAGAAAUCAACCGUAUUUGUCACUUCAUAGGCCAUCUUUCAAUCCAAAAUUGUCGACUGGAUUUACUGAAACAGGUGAUAUUGGAAAACUAAUCCACAGCUGCAACGUCGUCUGUGCUGCCAUUGCCCGUACGUCUGUCUCAUAAGUCAGUACAUGAAAAGUCUGUUCAAGAAGACGCGAUGAAAAAAUUAAAAGAUAGCCAAUUUGAAGAAUAUUAUGGAAGAUCUGCAGAAUAAAAAUCAAAUAAUAAAGGGCAAAGUGUAUUGAUGGAAGAAUUGGCAGGACCGCAAGACUUUUUGAAAAGGCAGGUAAACAAAUUUCAAGGUUUACCUUUGCCAAAGAAGUAUUCCCAAGAAAUAAGAAAGUUUGCUUUAACUUUACAUUUUCUUUCUCCGAAAGCGUAUAAUAAUUAUAUAUGCAAUGUGACAGGGUGUCACAAAGACAAUUUCUAAACAAAUUGACACUGUUUAGAUUUGUAUUUAUUGUAAAUAUAAUGUAGUUACAUAAUAAAUAAUGUGUGAAAUGAAUACUUGCUAAUAAACAGAUUUACGUUAUAA